UCCGCUUUUCAAGCGGGAGGUAUAAUAAAUUAAAUUACUUUGAAGGAAACAAAUGAUGAAGAUGGUAAUGAAAGAAGAGAUGACAAGAGACCAUCCCCUUCAACAGAUAAAAAGGAGGUUUGGGAUACCUUCCAAAUUAUGGACAAAGAAAACCAACGCGUCGAUGUUCACACACAUACCAGUUUUCGCAUUAUAAAAAUUCUAUUAUACAUGUUUCUGUUCCUCAUCUUGCUGGCCUCACUUGUAAUACAGAAGAUAAGUCUAUUAAUUGCUACAUCAAAACUUAAAAAAAUCAACCCUGCAAAUGCAACUGGAAAUGAUACCAUCGAAAACGAGAUUUCAAACCCAGGGGUUCAUAGUCUUCUGCUAGUGUUCGUGAUAUGUACUCCAUAUGUUAUGACAUUUCUUGCAAGCUGCUGGAAAGUUUUCUUUGGAAAUAUAAAACGGCCUUCAUUGACAACAAUC